AUUGAACGCUGGCGGCAGGCCUAGCACAUGCAAGUCGAGCGGAUGACGGGAGCUUGCUCCUUGAUUCAGCGGCGGACGGGUGAGUAAUGCCUAGGAAUCUGCCUGGUAGUGGGGGACAACGUUUCGAAAGGAACGCUAAUACCGCAUACGUCCUACGGGAGAAAGCAGGGGACCUUCGGGCCUUGCGCUAUCAGAUGAGCCUAGGUCGGAUUAGCUAGUUGGUGGGGUAAUGGCUCACCAAGGCGACGAUCCGUAACUGGUCUGAGAGGAUGAUCAGUCACACUGGAACUGAGACACGGUCCAGACUCCUACGGGAGGCAGCAGUGGGGAAUAUUGGACAAUGGGCGAAAGCCUGAUCCAGCCAUGCCGCGUGUGUGAAGAAGGUCUUCGGAUUGUAAAGCACUUUAAGUUGGGAGGAAGGGCAGUAAGUUAAUACCUUGCUGUUUUGACGUUACCGACAGAAUAAGCACCGGCUAACUCUGUGCCAGCAGCCGCCGUAA
rnacentral:rRNA from 1 species